GGGGAAUAUUGCACAAUGGAGGAAACUCUGAUGCAGCGACGCCGCGUGAGUGAAGAAGGUCUUCGGAUCGUAAAGCUCUGUCCUUGGGGAAGAAUAAAUGACGGUACCCAAGGAGGAAGCCCCGGCUAACUACGUGCCAGCAGCCGCGGUAAUACGUAGGGGGCGAGCGUUGUCCGGAUUUACUGGGCGUAAAGGGUGAGUAGGCGGUUAUAUAAGUCAGAUGUAAAAGGCGUAGGCUCAACUUACGUAAGCAUUUGAAACUGUAUGACUUGAGUGCAGGAGAGGUAAGUGGAAUUCCUAGUGUAGCGGUGAAAUGCGUAGAUAUUAGGAGGAACACCAGUGGCGAAGGCGGCUUACUGGACUGUAACUGACGCUGAGUCACGAAAGCGUGGGUAGCAAAC
rnacentral:rRNA from 1 species